UUCGAUUCCACCGAAAGACAUAAAUGAGGUAACAUUAAUUACAAAUAAAGACAAUGGGAACAUGCAUUGCUUGCCAAUACACCACAUACCAUUUUAGUUAACAUAUUGGUUAACAGUUUAGUUAAUAGCUUACCUUCUCUGCUGAGAUUGUGAUAGUUUUCAGGCUUUGAAGGGAGUUUUCACUGGAUUUACUAGAAAUGUGAAAUUGACCUGGCAAGCCUGUCUCUGCCUGAGCAUGAUCACAACAAAAGUAGCUGUGCAGCACGUUUUUUUUUAAGGAAGAAGAGGAUGGUUGCAGACGUUCGCAUUCAUGCAAGAAGGAAGGCACUGCAGAGGAUAAGAAGACGCAUGGAAACUCUAAAAGAAACAUAAUUCAACUUGUAGGCCAGAUUUGAAAAGGAAAUAAUAAAUCCCGAAGCUCAGUUGGAUACAAGACUGAUGACUCAUUAUCUAGUAUUGACAACAGUGAAGAUGUUAUGUCCCAGGGCCAUCAGGAUCAUCAGAGGAAGGCAAUUUCUAUGAAGAAAAUCUGACCGGAGAGAUGUCGGCGAUUCGGGCCAAUGACCAAGGGAAAGCUGGGACAAAAGAGAGGUUCACACGAAAUGGAUGCUGCGGCCACUGAUUGCGCAUCAGAGAAUGACUGAGAAAGGAGUCGUCGUCUGAAGAAUCCUAUGAAGAAAAUCUGACUGGAGAGAUGUCAGCGAUUCGGGCCAAACAACCAAUGACCAAGGGAAAGCUGGGACAAAAGAGAGGCUCACACGGUGACAAAGGAACAAAAAGGUGUUGGUCGACAAUAGAGAUGGAUGCAUUUGAAGAUUCAUUGAUGAACUUUAUCCGAAUGGGGAAAAAUGCCUGGAAAACAAGACUGUGAGAAAUGCGUUUCUGCUUCUCCCCAAGCGCUAGUAAACAGGGACUGGAGAGCAGUACAGUUCUAUGUACACAACAGAAUAGUUGCAGAUCAGAGAAAAUAAGUGUAUGAGAUGCUUCUGGCUAUCUUGGUGUACUUCUGAGGAUUUAAUGGGACUUACUUGACUUAGGCAGAUGACGAAUGUCCUCUAUCUCACUGUUCGGGGGAAGUUUUUCCUGGUGGGUGUUUAACUUUUGGAGUGACUAAGGUCUCAAGAAUACAAAGCCUGCUGACUUUGAAUGUUACAGAAAAAUAAAGAAAAUUCUAAGCUAUUAAUCUGUUACUUGGAUAUAUUGAAUCCAUUACUAAAAUGGUUGUUCCAGUUUAAAUACUUUAAUGAAGAACUACACUACAGCCGUUGAGUUGCCUUUCGUGUUGCAUCAUUCUGGCAUUCUACAUGAAUAUUUUCAGUCAUAAAAUAGAAAUAAUGCAUCAAAUAUCGAGAAUUUAAAAUGGUUAAUUAUUUUACGCUUCCAUUAGGUACAACUUAGGCAGUUGGAUAGCUUUUAUAGAUUUCAUAGGAGGCAUUCUCUUGAUGGCUGAUGGCAAUGCAUUGAGUGGCUGCUGCUAACAUACAGACUCAAUCUCUAGUGUUGGAUCCUGUAUUUUACAGAGACAUACCCCAAGUGACUUACAGCUGUAAUCGCAGCAAAAGGUGGCGCUACAAAGUAUUAACUUAAGGGGGCUGAAUAAUUUUGCACGCCCAAUUUCUCAGUUUUUGAUUUGUUAAAAAAGUUUUAAAUAUCCAAUAAUUGUCGUUCCACUUCAUGAUUGUGUCCCACUUGUUGUUGAUUCCUCACAAAAAAAUACAGUUUUAUAUCUUUAUGUUUGAAGCCUGAAAUGUGGCAAAAGGUCGCAAAGUUCAAGGGGCCGAAUACUUUCGCAAGGCACUGUAUAUCAGAUCAUUCUGCCCUGCUGGCUUCAGUACCAGUUUGUAGAGCACAGCCACCCUCAAGAAGAUGGAGGUUUGGUACAUAUUUACUAAACAUUUCUGAACACUCAUAUAGACAUAUUUUUUAGCACCAAUAACAACUCUGCCUCCUCCCUAAUUUUAUGAGAAGCUCUCCUUGCAUAUCUGAGGGGGCAAAUCAUAUCCUUUAGUUCAGAUGCUCGUAAGAUGUAUAUGAAAUUACAGAUCUGGAAAAAGAACAUAGUGUAACAUUUGACGACUCAACUCUCUCAACAAAAAUUUGACUCAAAGCGAUUGGAAUAUAACACCCUACCGACCCAUAAAGUGGAAAAUGCUCUCAGGAGAACAAAACAAAACCACUACGAACAUGGAGAUAAAGCAGGAAAGUUGCUUCCUUGGCAGAUAAGACGAGAGGAUGCUUGUAGAGUUAUUAGCUCUAUUAAGCUACCCAGUAACACAGUUGUUCACAGUCCUGAGGAAAUGUAUCCAGUCUUCAGGGAGUUUUAUGAAACAUUGUACAAGUCUGAAGGGGAUGCCCCUGCCACAAUGCAUGAGUUUUUGAACAAACCCAAUUUACAAACUUUAACUGAUUAGGAUAGAGAGCACUUGGAGAAAGAGAUUACAUCAGAGGAAAUUAGGGAAUCCAUUUUCAACACUGCUGGGGGAAAUCACCAGGGUUAGACGGAUUCCCUAUUGAAAUCUAUUGAUCCUUUUUACCCAAACUAAUUGAGCUUCUUUGCAGUUUGUUUAAUUAUACCAUAGAGACAGAAAAGCUCCCAGACACACUUGAACAGUCACUGAUCACAGUUUUGUUCAAACCUGGGAAAGAUCCUAUGCUUUGUGCGUCGUAUAGACUAAUAUCUCUAUUGAACACUUCAUAUAAGAUUCUUACGAAACUCAUUGCUCUUAGACUGGAUAAGGUUCUACCGGACUUGGUUGAUAUGGACCAAACAGGCUUUGUAAGAAACCGCUCAUCUCCUGAUAAUAUCAGAAGAUUAUUUAAUAUUAUGCAUUAUGUAGAGAAUGACCAAGAAUCUGUAGUGGCGGCUUCGUUAGAUGCAGAACAAGCUUUUGACCGCAUAGAAUGGAACUACCUGUUAGAAGUUUUACAGAGGAUGAAUAUUGGACCUAAGUAUGUAGGUCUGGUUAGAUUACUGUACAAAUGUCCAGUAGCUCAGAUCCUGACUAAUGGAAACGUUUCCUCACAGUUCUCCCUAUCACGUGGCAUAAGACAGGGUUGUCCCGCUAGUCUGCUCCUAUUUUCUUUGGCUAUAGAGCCACUGGCAGAAGCUUUUAGAUCUCAUCCAUCCAUGGUUUUCAUAUAGGUGGGCGUGAACAUCUGGUCUCGCUAUAUGCCGAUGACAUUUUGCUUUACAUCACUAAACAAGAAAUUUCACUCCGAACAUUAGUUGACGUCCUGAGAGAAUAUGGGACCUUUUCAGGAUAUAAAAAAAAUCGCAGAAUAUAAGUAUGCCUUUUAACAGGGCAGAUAUGCAGAACCCAAUCUUACAAACAUUUUCUUGGAAACCACAGAAAAUGACAUAUCUUGGAUUGCAAAUUCCUUCUGAAACUAUUAAGACAUAUCAACUGAACUAUACUCCACUUCUCAAAAAAUGUUGGGGAAGAAUUGGAUAGAUGGCGGGAUUUACCAAUUUCUCUUAUUGUGCGGGUCAAUUGUGUAAAGAUGAAUAUAUUACCAAAAUUCUUGUACCUUUUUCAAACCUUGCCUUU